CACACACACACACACACACUAAUCGCCCCAGAAAAGAAACCUAUGACAGACCAAAGUAGUGAUUUCGCUGAAGUUCAACUUAGUGAACCAAAGAGCUUUUAUUGAGGUUACUUAAAAGAAAGUGGGGGAGGGCUUACUUACAGGAGCAGAGAUGACUCGAAAGGGACUGUGUUAUUAAAAUUGUCACCAUGUGAGUGUUGGUAUCAGGACCUCUGAAACCCAUGACAUCACAUAGGUGAGACCUGAACACCUGUUGCCAAGGCAACAGCCACCAUAUUCCCAGAAUCCACUUGGCUCCCCUCCCAUCUUUAACUGUGAUUUCGUCAUCACCCAUAUAUAAAGAAAGCCCCCCUCCCCAUCUCUCACUCUCUCUUUCCCUCCCUUCUUUUUCCUCCGUUACCUUGCCCCUCUCUCUCCUAGUAAACCUCAUGUGGAACUGUUUGGCCUGGUGUGGUCCUUCUGAAGCCGGGAGACAUUCAAGGUCAUAACAAUGAGUACUCAUGAAACCUGCGAUCCUGGAGCCCUCUGCAUCGCUUGUAUGCAGCUCAACAGGCCCCGAGAUCUCCUCACUACAAUGAAGCUGGUAAGAGGCUCCUCCUUCACCAGGUACAGAGUGGGGCUGGAGACCGGAGGCAGCGGGGACUCCCGCUAGGAUGUAUGUGGUGGUACUGAGAAGCUGCUCGGUGGCUUCCCUACUGGGUUACCACGAGCUGCACCUUAGCAGAGAUGCGCGUCCCUCAGCGGCCUAUUUGUUUCCUGCUUUGCUUUGAUAAGUGGUAUCUGCGAUGACAGCGAGAGCACACAUAUAUCUAACUUUAAAAAGAUUCGAUUCUGCCUAUUAUGAUUUCCUCGCUGCUGGUAUUUUGAUGAAGAGGGAGACAGACAGUAACGCUUCCCCGAGAAAGAAACGGAUCUCAUCCUACCUCCUGUUGGUCUUCUGUGUCUGUGUUAGCCACUGUCAGCGGAAACCAGAGAAGACUAGGUCUUGCGUUAUGAGAGCCAGAGCCUAUGGCCUGACACAGUUCAUUCUUCAUCUUAGAACCCAGGUGACUCCUCCUUCCACGACCCAUCAAAAUCUUAUCUUUAAUUCAUAAAGUGUAUAUUUGCUAAGCCUUGACUGUGUACCAGUAUGUGUAAUAAUCACUGGAUUCAACAUUGAGAGCAAGAUACUAUUUGUUGGUCUGUCUCUCUCUUCCUUUCUCUUUUCUCUAGUGAAGACUGUGUUCUCUCGGCUCUUAAUUUAGUGGAAGAGAUAAAUCAAACAAAACAAAGUUGAUGUGUUCCGUAGUUGAGGAAACACAGCAGGUCUGUUGUAGUUCACGACGGAGACAAACCGCCUGGUUUUGGGGGUGUCAUAGAAGGAAGUGGUGCCGGGCAUGGUGGCACACGCCUUUAAUCCCAGCACUUGGGGGGCAGAGGCAGGUGGAUUUCUGAGUUCGAGGCCAGCCUGGUCUACAAAGUGAGUUCCAGGACAGCCAGAGCUAUACAGAGAAACCCUGUCUAGAAACAAAACAAAACAAAACAAAACAAAACAAACAAACAAAAAAGUAACGGUUAGACUAGAGGAGGAGGGUGUGCAUGCCAAAUGCGUCCUGUAGGUGGCGCUGCACACACACACAUACACACACACACACACACACACACACACACACACACACACUCGCCGUUAAUGCCUUGUUUGCUCUGAGUUAACCUUCCAUCUCAGGUGGCUUUGGGGUUUGCAAACCCUUUCCUAGCUGUGGCGCUCCUCCCCCCCCCAGACAGAGACAGACAGACAGACAGACAGACAGACAGACAGACACACACACACACACACACACACACACACACACACACACACACACAGAUACGGUUCAUGAUCUCAAGAAUGUGACAGGAAGACCCAGGUCUCUUUCAGGAACAGUACACACCAGAGUGAGACUAGAGGGAAAGGCAAGAGGGGCAGAUGGUGGCCUUUGCCAUACAAACCUUUUGCACAUUGUUUUGGGUCAGUGGGAAGUCAAAGAAUGUGAAUUCAGAUAAAUGAGUGAGAUCUUUUAGAAAAAUCAUGCUGGUUGCGGAAUGGAGAAUGAACUGGAAAGGAACAGAGGCUUG
ensembl:lncRNA